UUGGGCAUAAGUGAAGUCACGGAAGCCAAAGUUACAAGCGUUUUUGCUAAGUGGCUUCAACAAGCCAAAACCAGAUGUGAAAGAAGAGGGAAAAAAACCUGCCACUGUGGACAGUGGGGAAGAAGUUCCACUCAAUGGGGAUGAAGAUCUUGUUGAAUAGAUAACUUACUCUGUAUUAUUUAAGUAAUCGUAAAAAGAGGAAUUUUUGAGGGAACUGUUUGUUGAAAGUUAAAGAUACGAGGCAUUUUCAAAUGUGAAUGUGUUAUGUAAAUCUUCAAUAUAAAUCUAUUUAGACAAAUUA